GCAUGCCCAAGUCCACAACGACUAGUCUGUCCGAAUCCUCGAGACACUUGCAGUUGCUACUGUCAGGAUGUCCCUUGUUACAUGCCAAGAUGCGGCAACGACUGCCAGGUCAGUUGCUUGAGAAGGACUGGCUGGUGUCAGUGCAAAUGCGUACCAAGAAGUCAGCGGUGUGCGGAUACCUGGUCUAGUACAUGCCUCGCUGUGUGUACCGGGUGUAAUCCUUGCAAGUGCAAUUGUGUUGGCGAAUACCAACAGCACCAGCGCAACGAAUACAAAUCCUUUGGAUGAUCCCCUUUUUUCAACUUCCAGGUGUCCUGUCGAACACGCACCGUGGUGGCUUCUCUGGUAUAACGAGUAAUA